UUUAAUGAGAGUUUGAUCCUGGCUCAGGACGAACGCUGGCGGCGUGCCUAAUACAUGCAAGUAGAACGCUGAAGUCUGGUGCUUGCACUAGACGGAUGAGUUGCGAACGGGUGAGUAACGCGUAGGUAACCUGCCUCAUAGCGGGGGAUAACUAUUGGAAACGAUAGCUAAUACCGCAUAACAGUAUUUACCGCAUGGUAGAUGUUUGAAAGGAGCAAUUGCUUCACUAUGAGAUGGACCUGCGUUGUAUUAGCUAGUUGGUGAGGUAACGGCUCACCAAGGCAUCGAUACAUAGCCGACCUGAGAGGGUGAUCGGCCACACUGGGACUGAGACACGGCCCAGACUCCUACGGGAGGCAGCAGUAGGGAAUCUUCGGCAAUGGGGGCAACCCUGACCGAGCAACGCCGCGUGAGUGAAGAAGGUUUUCGGAUCGUAAAGCUCUGUUGUAAGAGAAGAACUGUGAGAAGAGUGGAAAGUUUCUCAUUUGACGGUAUCUUACCAGAAAGGGACGGCUAACUACGUGCCAGCAGCCGCGGUAAUACGUAGGUCCCGAGCGUUGUCCGGAUUUAUUGGGCGUAAAGCGAGCGCAGGCGGUUUGAUAAGUCUGAAGUAAAAGGCUGUGGCUUAACCAUAGUACGCUUUGGAAACUGUCAAACUUGAGUGCAGAAGGGGAGAGUGGAAUUCCAUGUGUAGCGGUGAAAUGCGUAGAUAUAUGGAGGAACACCGGUGGCGAAAGCGGCUCUCUGGUCUGUAACUGACGCUGAGGCUCGAAAGCGUGGGGAGCGAACAGGAUUAGAUACCCUGGUAGUCCACGCCGUAAACGAUGAGUGCUAGGUGUUGGGUCCUUUCCGGGACUCAGUGCCG
rnacentral:rRNA from 1 species